rnacentral:rRNA from 2 species
CUUCCUCGUAGUACGGAACAACUCAGGGAAACUUGAGCUAAUACCGUAUACGUCCGAGAGGAGAAAGAUUUAUCGCUAUGAGACGGGCCCGCGUCCGAUUAGGUAGUUGGUGGGGUAACGGCCUACCAAGCCGACGAUCGGUAGCUGAUCUGAGAGGAUGAUCAGCCACACUGGGACUGAGACACGGCCCAGACUCCUACGGGAGGCAGCAGUGGGGAAUCUUGGACAAUGGGCGCAAGCCUGAUCCAGCCAUGCCGCGUGAGUGAAGAAGGCCUUAGGGUUGUAAAGCUCUUUUGCCAGGGACGAUAAUGACGGUACCUGGAGAAUAAGCCCCGGCAAACUUCGUGCCAGCAGCCGCGGUAAUACGAAGGGGGCUAGCGUUGUUCGGAAUUACUGGGCGUAAAGCGCACGUAGGCGGGUUGUUAAGUCAGGGGUGAAAUCCCGGAGCUCAACUCCGGAACUGCCUUUGAUACUGGCAAUCUAGAGGCUGGAAGAGGUUAGUGGAAUUCCCAGUGUAGAGGUGAAAUUCGUAGAUAUUGGGAAGAACACCAGUGGCGAAGGCGGCUAACUGGUCCAGUACUGACG